GACGAACGCUGGCGGCGUGCUUAACACAUGCAAGUCGAACGGAAAGGCCCUGCUUUUGUGGGGUGCUCGAGUGGCGAACGUGUGAGUAACACGUGAGUAACCUGCCCUUGACUUUGGGAUAACUUCAGGAAACUGGGGCUAAUACCGGAUAUGAGCUCCUGCUGCAUGGUGGGGGUUGGAAAGUUUCGGCGGUUGGGGAUGGACUCGCGGCUUAUCAGCUUGUUGGUGGGGUAGUGGCUUACCAAGGCUUUGACGGGUAGCCGGCCUGAGAGGGUGACCGGCCACAUUGGGACUGAGAUACGGCCCAGACUCCUACGGGAGGCAGCAGUGGGGAAUAUUGCACAAUGGGCGGAAGCCUGAUGCAGCAACGCCGCGUGCGGGAUGACGGCCUUCGGGUUGUAAACCGCUUUCGCCUGUGACGAAGCGUGAGUGACGGUAAUGGGUAAAGAAGCACCGGCUAACUACGUG
rnacentral:rRNA from 1 species